UAGCCUUCUUACUCAGAUGAUUGAAUAACUGGAAGAACAUAACUGGAGUUCUGCUGACCCCCUGGUGGCUGACUUUGGGUUUUUCUUACCCUGGGCAUCUGCACUCCAUGACAAAAAGCAAAACCAAUAUGCUGAGCUUUGCCUUCAACCAGCUACAUUGUAAGCUGUCCUUUAGGAAGAGGAAUGUCAUCUCUGGUGAGGUGAGAGAGAGCAAUUAGUCUUCCAAAAGCAAAGAGAAAAAGAGCAAAGGUUUCACUAAGCCUUGAAUGAGUUUACUAAGAAAGAAUUAUAAAAACUGAAACAUUUCCAGACUGAUAAUGGUAUUCCUGCUGAGCAUCUAAGUUUCCCGAGUGGGCAAAGGAAUGCGGAAGAGUGGUGUCUCGGGCCAGAAGAUUGAUUCUGUAAUUCUCCAUCUGCACCAUGGGCUGUCAGCAUCAUCACAGUUGUUCUUUAAAAGCAUUAGCAAGACAAUUACUGAUUUUUUCACCACUGUAUUUACAUGUUUGUGUCCAUCUAUCCCUAGAGCCCAGAA